rnacentral:lncRNA from 1 species
GGUCCAUGCAAAAUUUUCUCCAACAUUGUUUAUUCUCUCUUUCUAUUUUCUUGUAGUCCAAAUUUUGUCUUUAGAAUUUCAUACCCAUUUUGUAGGAAAUUCAGCAUAUGUUAACUUCCAAGCAUCUUCACAUAUUUUAUUAGUUUGCAAUCAUUCAAUGAGCAUUAUUUUUUCUACAUCUUUUCUAUUAAGAAUAAUAGAU